rnacentral:rRNA from 1 species
UACGUAGGGUGCUAGCGUUGUUCGGAAUCAUUGAGCGUAAAGCGCGUGUAGGCCGUCAACUAAGUCGGGUGUGAAAUCCCUGGGCUCAACCGAGGAAGUGCACUCGAAACUGGUUGGCUGGAAAACAGUAGAGGAAGGUGGAAUUCCUAGUGUAGAGGUGAAAUUCGUAGAUAUUAGGAGGAAUACCGGUGGCGAAGGCGGCCUUCUGGACUGAUUUUGACGCUGAGACGCGAAAGCGUGGGUAGCAAACAGG